UCCGGGAUCUGCUCCAGGGUGUCUUUCUCUGAUUGUUAAAUAUUUGGAAUGUCACUGCCAGUCUGGAUGAAUGGGGCCAUGGUGAGUGGUAGCAAAGGAGUAGCAAAACCUGAUGUGGAGACUGCAGAGGAUGGAGCAGCACUCCCUCCUCACCAGCGAUGAGAUCUGGGUGGGACAUCAGCCCCAUCUUUUUAUGGAUAGGGAAAUUGAGGCCAAGGAGACUGAGGUUUGCCACAUCACAGAGCAAGCAAGGACCAGAGCUGGGGCCCCCAGACUCCAGCUGAGGGCUUUCCUCACCAUGCACAUCCCCAGAGCUGGGUUGUUACAUGGCAUAUCCAGGUCAGGAGGAGGAGAGGAGAAGCGAGGAGGACCCGAAGGUGAGCAGAACCUGCUGGAGGGAGACGGUGGGGACCAAUGAGUUCUCUGCAGGACAAAGCAAAGCUGGAGGGGCCUUUGAGUGACUGCAAAGGGAAGCCACAAUGGAGCAGUCAAGGACACACACGGCCCCACUUCUGUGAAAGGAGGAGAUGAGCUGUAAUUGGGGGUGGUGAGAAGUGUUUCCAGGGUGGCAACAGGGGAAGGAGAUCAAUGCUCUCAAAACAAACCUAGCACCAGGGCCCUGCUCUCUGCGUGUUAACUUCCACUUAUCUCAUCAAUGCACAGACUGUUGGAAUGGAAGACUGUCAAAUGGAGACGGAACAUCUGGUCCUUGGGUGAGUCCGGGUCAACCUGGUUCUUGCUUGAAAGUAACAGAAAUGAACUGUGGUCAAUUUAAGCAAAAGGGCAUUGACUGGAAGUCUUUGAAGUUAUCCCAGACCCAGGAGGAGACAUUAGGACUGGCCUUAGGCACAGGCAGGAACUAAGAUGAUGAUGGUGAGCCCGGGAAACAGAAGGUGGUCUUGAGGCUGGCACAGGCUGGGGGUAUGCAGCUGUGGCCAAGGCUGACCUUCAGCCUCCUGCUCUGCCAGCAUCCCUCAAGAGUCACCUGGGAGGGGAACUGAGGCCCCAUGUCCACUCCCUGGCUGUGCUAGGGUCAGGAGAAAGAAAAGCUCAGCUUUCAGGCCAGAAAGUAGUUACCUGGAAUCUUCUUCCUGCUGAGACAAUACUCAAGGUGGGAGAGGUCACUCCCUGCCCCCACCCCUCAAAUCCGGGUGAUGUUAGAAAAUGGGCUUUGGGGAAUCAACAUCCAAUAAAUACUGGCUGGCUAGGGUUCUUCGGGCCUUCCCUUCUCCCUGGGGUCCCCCUCCACCCUGUACUCCCCAUCCCAGUCCCUGAGCGCUCUCCUCCCUCCCUCAAGUUCUCCCAGGGACAGUUUUUCAUUUCAGCUGCUGCAAUAUCUGCUCCGGCAAU
rnacentral:lncRNA from 1 species